rnacentral:rRNA from 1 species
CCCCGCGGUUAUACGAGAGGCUCAAGUUGACAGACAACGGCGUAAAGCGUGGUUAAGGAAAAUAUUUUACUAAAGCGGAACGCCCUCACAGCUGUUAUACGCUUCCGAGGGUAUGAACCCCAACUACGAAGGUGGCUUUACAUUACCUGAAUCCACGAAAGCUAAGAAA